CGGGGGCCCCGCGGCUCCGUGCUGAGGGUCGGCGCCCGUGCAGCGCGAGCAGCGCGGCCGGGGCCUGCAGAAAGUUUCCGCGGCGGCAGGUGGACGGCAGGCUGGGACCUGUUGCAAUUCCUGAUCGUUCUGGCCGCGUUUCAUCAAGCAGUUGUGACUUGAGAACUGUCCCGGCCCUCGCGCCCCAUAACCACGCGGUUUCCUUGGCCUCCUUGGCGCUUACGUCCCUUCUUGUCCCCCAGCAAGCUUCCUGCACGGCGUAACCGAGCCGCGUUUUGCGCCCCGUCGGGCGGCGGAAGGGUUAAGUCCCGCUGCGCUGAGCGUUUCGGCGCUCGUUGGCUGCCGGCCCAGCGCUCUCGGUGCCGUAUUGCAUCAGAGCGGGCAGGAGCACCUCGCUGCGCUCCCCCUCCGCGCGCUGUACUUGGAGCGCUUCGCCGUUUCCCACGGCAUGUUAAUUUUUUCCCUCCGUGGUCUCCAGGAUUCCUUCUCACGGGUUUCUUGGAGGAUGUUCUGCCCCGCUCCUCCCACCCAGGUUGAGGGCAGGGCGCCGCUCCGCUCUGCCCUACGCCGGGCGCCUGGAGCCCAUCUUUGCACCUCCGGCACACGGCGAGCCCUCGGUGCCGAGACGCUCCCCGCUCGGUGUCGAAACGUCGCCGCAGAGCAGUCCCGUGCGUUGCCCAGCGAGGUUCCCAGUAAGUGCGGCUGGCGCGGGGCCAGGCUGCGCUGCCAAAGCGCCCGUGGGUUCGGCGCUCUGGAUGAAAAUUUGGAUGUGCUUCACAGCACGGGGAGCUGCGGGAGCCUGGCUCGGGGCAGGAGCUCCCAGGGCUGGGUGGGUGUCCGUUCCCUCGGCUCUCACAUCAGUGUCAGGUGGGUCAGCCCGGCCCGGCCCCCUCCAUUUCACGUGGAAGCGACAGGUUUUUGAUUUUUUUUUAUUAAAAAAAAAAAAAAAAGAAGAAGAAGAUUUGGGAUUUAAUGCCUCCUUUGUUGUCAGUCUCUUAACAACUGAGGAGAAGAGACAUUGAAAUGCUGAGCCAACCCAUGGGACGGGUUUUAAAGACACUCCUAGGCACCUAAAACGUGGGUUCCUAAACACCUUUACAAAUGUGGAUUCAUGGGACUGACGCAGAGCUGCCUCAUAAACUUUUGAUGCCCUGGAGCUUCUAGCCAAGACUUGCAGCCUUUGUCCCAGAUGACUGCAGAGGUCUGGCCAGGAUGUGUGCUGUCUUCCUGUGGUGUUGCAUAGCGCUCAGCGCAGCGAAGCUUCCCUCUUGAUGGAUGCCUUAGAGAUCCCACGUAAGCAAUAAUUCCUGUAGCUCAUUUACCUGCUCGUCAUAAUAAACUAGAAAGUAAGAACGCCACAAAAGACACUGAAGGAAAGCACUGUGGGCAUCACAUUCACAUCUGAUUUAACCAGCGACUCUCCCCAUCCUUCAAUCCUGAGCUGAAUACAAAAAGGACAACAGCUUUCCAGGUAGAGCGAUGUGAUAAAACAGGUGAUUUCUAAAAGCAAGUAAAGAACCCUAAAUUGUUGCCGCUCACCUUGGUAUUCAAAACUCAAAACCUCCACUCAAGAUCUCCUAAGACGCAAAGUGAUCUUUACCACAGUUGUACAAGACAGAUCCCUGGCUGUUCCUGUGGCACCGUACAUCCCGUGCCAUCUCAGGAGCUGGCUUGGAGCAAUCUGAACUGAUCAGAACGAUGCUGCGAAGAAGGGUGGACAAGCUGCAGUGAACGCAGGGCACGGAGAUGAGCCCCUUCUCCUUUCCAGCCCCUUCCCAGACACCCAGGAGCUGGGACCAGCAGUAUCUCCCUGAGGCCAGUCUUGCCCUUCCCUGGUGGAAGGCAUACCUGAUUCUAAGGCCUGAGCUUUGCAUACAGCUUAGUCCAGGGCCGGUGGGCUGCUUCCCACAGCAGGGAAUGAUUUCUUGGUGAGCAACGGAAAUUUCUUUCUGCAACAGUGACAGUUUAUGCCGGCCUAAAUUAUACAUAAAAAUACAUCCUAUUGUAAAAGAUGCCACUUCCUGCCCAAUGAAAGCCUUCCCCAGGUUAAGACGUGUGUCAGUAGUUCCACCUGUCUGCAGUGCUUGCCCUGGCUGCUGCGCUCCGCUCUGGCCAUGUGACGCAGCUGUAAAUUCAAGUAGCUGCUUGCAUUACCAGUGGGGCACAGCACAGCCAGCACGCAGGCGAGCUGGGAUGCACUUCAUCAUUUUAUACGUUGCAUCUGAGAGACAAAAGCAGAGAGAACCUCGGUGCUAGAGAGCAAUUUGUUUCCCUC
ensembl:lncRNA